rnacentral:rRNA from 1 species
GGGGAAUAUUGCACAAUGGGGGAAACCCUGAUGCAGCAACGCCGCGUGAGGGAAGAAGGUCUUCGGAUUGUAAACCUUUGUCCUUGGUGGCGAAACAAAUGACGGUAGCCAAGGAGGAAGCUCCGGCUAACUACGUGCCGGCAGCCGCGGUAAUACGUAGGGAGCAAGCGUUGUCCGGAUUUACUGGGUGUAAAGGGUGCGUAGGCGGCUCUGCAAGUCAGGCGUGAAAACUAUGGGCUUAACCCAGAGACUGCGUUUGAAACUGUGGGGCUUGAGUGAAGUAGGGGUAGGCGGAAUUCCCGGUGUAGCGGUGAAAUGCGUAGAGAUCGGGAGGAACACCAGUGGCGAAGGCGGCCUACUGGGCUUUAACUGACGCUGAAGCACGAAAGCAUGGGUAGCAAAC